rnacentral:rRNA from 1 species
AACGAACGCUGGCGGCGUGCUUCACACAUGCAAGUCGAACGCGAACGGGACUUCGGUUCUUAGUAGAGUGGCGCACGGGUGAGUAACGCGUAGAUAACCUGUCUUCAUAUCCGGAAUAACACGCCGAAAGGGGUACUAAUACCGGAUAUUCUUGCAUUUCACAGGUAAGGCAAGGAAAGGUGGCCUCUGAUUCAAGCUACUGUAUGAAGAGGGGUCUGCGUACCAUUAGCUAGUAGGUGGGGUAAUGGCCUACCUAGGCGACGAUGGUUAGCGGGUCUGAGAGGAUGAUCCGCCACACUGGCACUGGAAUACGGGCCAGACUCCUACGGGAGGCAGCAGUGAGGAAUAUUGCGCAAUGGGGGCAACCCUGACGCAGCGACGCCGCGUGAGUGAGGAAGGUCUUCGGAUCGUAAAGCUCUGUCAAGAGGGAAGAAGUGCAGGACAGCGAAUAACUGUUUUGUUUGACGGUACCUCUAAAGGAAGCACCGGCUAGCUCCGUGCCAGCAGCCGCGGUAAUACGGAGGGUGCGAGCGUUGUUCGGAAUCACUGGGCGUAAAGGGCGCGCAGGCGGGCUGUCAAGUUAGAUGUGAAAUCCCACGGCUUAACUGUGGACGUGCAUUUGAAACUGGCAGUCUUGAGUACCAGAGGGGAAUGUGGAAUUCCCGGUGUAGAGGUGAAAUUCGUAGAUAUCGGGAGGAAUACCGGUGGCGAAGGCGACAUUCUGGCUGGAUACUGACGCUGAGGCGCGAAAGCGUGGGGAGCAAACAGGAUUAGAUACCCUGGUAGUCCACGCCGUAAACGAUGUGAACUAGAUGCAGGGGGUGUGGAUCCCCCCUGUGUCGCAGCUAACGCAUUAAGUUCACCGCCUGGGGAGUACGGUCGCAAGAUUAAAACUCAAAGGAAUUGACGGGGGCCCGCACAAGCGGUGGAGUAUGUGGUUUACUGCGAUGCAACACGAAGAACCGUACCUGGUCUUGACAUCCCGGAGACGCCCAUGAAAGUGGGUGGUGCCUUCUCUCGAAGGAAUCGGAGACAUGUGCUGCAUGGCUGUCGUCAGCUCGUGUCGUGAGAUGUUUGGGUAAGUCCGCAACGA